CCCUUAGAUGUCCUGGGCCGCACGCGUGCUACACUGACGCCUACAGCGAGUACUUCCCAGCCCCGAGAGGUGGCUGGUAAUCAGCAAUAGGCGUCGUGAUGGGGAUAGAUUUUUGGAAUUAUGGAUCUUGAACGAGGAAUGCCUAGUAAGCGCAGGUCAUUAGCCUGCGCUGAUUAAGUCCCUGCCCUUUGUACACACCGCCCGUCGCUCCUACCGAUUUCGAGUGGUCCGGUGAAUCUUUCGGACUGCGCGCGGCCUCGUGCCGUGUCGCGGAAAGUCAGGUAAACCUUAUCACUUAGAGGAAGGAGAAGUCGUANCA
rnacentral:rRNA from 1 species